rnacentral:rRNA from 1 species
AAUAGAUACCCAGGUAGUCCACGCCGUAAACGAUGAGUGCUAAGUGUUAGAGGGUUUCCGCCCUUUAGUGCUGAAGUUAACGCAUUAAGCACUCCGCCUGGGGAGUACGGCCGCAAGGCUGAAACUCAAAGGAAUUGACGGGGGCCCGCACAAGCGGUGGAGCAUGUGGUUUAAUUCGAAGCAACGCGAAGAACCUUACCAGGUCUUGACAUCCUCUGACAACCCUAGAGAUAGGGCUUCUCCUUCGGGAGCAGAGUGACAGGUGGUGCAUGGUUGUCGUCAGCUCGUGUCGUGAGAUGUUGGGUUAGGUCCCGCAACGAGCGCAACCCUUGAUCUUAGUUGCCAUCAUUCAGUUGGGCACUCUAAGGUGACUGCCGGUGACAAACCGGAGGAAGGUGGGGAUGACGUCAAAUCAUCAUGCCCCUUAUGACCUGGGCUACACACGUGCUACAAUGGACGGUACAAAGAGCUGCAAGACCGCGAGGUGGAGCUAAUCUCAAUAAAACCGUUCUCAGUUCGGAUUGU